CAGGUGCGCCCCAGUGUGGUUCGGGCCGCGGGGCGCGGGCCCGGCGGGGAGGGCUCACCUUUCUGACCGCCGAGCGCCGCGUACCAGGAGAGCGAGAGGAAGGCGCACAGGCAGAGGAGCAGCAGCGUCAGGAAGUUGCAGGCUUUCCGCAGUCCUCUGUGGAACCAGGAAGAAGACCAACCAUAAAAGGAUCCGUCCAACACAGGCUCUGUUUGGGCAGGCACUAGGGGUCUCAGCACCAUUCCUCAUGGUCCUGAUUCCCAGCAUUGGCUGCAAGUAUCCUGGGUGUCUUGGUGGGAAAGGCCUUUUUGGGGAUUACGCACUGAGGACAAAAGGGGACAUUCUGAAAGAAAGCUGGAUGCUACAACUAGAAGGGGACUAGAGAGAGGGUGGUCAAGAACAGAAGCCUAAGGGGGCUAUGUCCCCUGGAGCCUGCAGAAGUGACAUCACAGUGAGGAAAGGCCCACUGCAUGCAUCUGUUGGGCCGUGCUGCCCCCACGCUUUAGCCUAUCCCUCCCUUCAGCCUUUGCACUCCCACCUUCAUCCUUUGAAACAGGGCAGCAGUUGCCUGGCUCUCAGCCAGCUUUCCACUGCUGUCCGUGCCCUCCUAUAAUAAAUUCCUCAGGGCCUGCCUGCGACUCAGCUCCCUCUGGGCACUUCUAGGCAGGUGAGCUCUGCCUGUCACCCUGCCACCCAGAGUGGGGCAGUAAAAAUUAAGGAAAUGGCCUAUCAGAUGACCCAUCCCAAGUUCUACUUCUUGUGCUGGGGACAUUGACCCUGGCCCACACCCAGGAGGGAGGGUGGAGCUGAAUGGGCACAGAAAGUCCUGCUUUCUCUCCAGAUCCCAGGCUGUGGGCCUUCCUCCUUUGUUCUUGCUUCCCACAGAGUAAAAAUGCCCUUCUGUGUCCAGAUUCCAUGCCGGCCCUCGGCCCACACUGAGUUUGGCAGAUUUUCUGGGACAGCCCUUGGAGAUGACCAGUCCUUCCAUCCUUCUUCACGGGGCUUCUUUACCUGUGGUCCAAGCAUCCAGAAUUGGAGAGGCCCAGGAGCUGAGAUGAGAAAAAAAAAAAAAUCCAUCUUUCUUUUCACUAACCUCUAA